GGCGGUAUGCUUAACACAUGCAAGUCGAACGGUAACAUGGCUAGCUUGCUAGCCGAUGACGAGUGGCGGACGGGUGAGUAACGCGUAGGGAUCUACCUAGUAGCGGGGGAUAGCCCGGUGAAAACCGGAUUAAUACCGCAUAAUACCCAUGGGUGAAAGAUGGCCUCUUCUUGAAAGCUAUCACUACUAGAUGAACCUGCGUUGGAUUAGCUUGUUGGUGAGGUAAUGGCCUACCAAGGCGACGAUCCAUAGCUGGUCUGAGAGGAUGAUCAGCCACACUGGGACUGAGACACGGCCCAGACUCCUACGGGAGGCAGCAGUGGGGAAUAUUGGACAAUGGGCGCAAGCCUGAUCCAGCAAUACCGCGUGUGUGAAGAAGGCCCUAGGGUUGUAAAGCACUUUCAGUAGGGAGGAAGGCUUAACGGUUAAUACCCGUUAGGAUUGACGCUACCUACAGAAGAAGCACCGGCUAACUCCGUGCCAGCAGCCCGCGGUAAUACGGAGGGUGCAAGCGUUAAUCGGAAUUACUGGGCGUAAAGCGCGCGUAGGCGGUUAUUUAAGUUAGUUGUGAAAGCCCUGGGCUCAACCUGGGAACUGCAAUUAAUACUGGAUAACUAGAGUAUGGGAGAGGUGAGUAGAAUUCCAGGUGUAGCGGUGAAAUGCGUAGAUAUCUG
rnacentral:rRNA from 1 species